rnacentral:rRNA from 1 species
ACGCUAGCUACAGGCUUAACACAUGCAAGUCGAGGGUCAGCAUGGUCUUAGCUUGCUAAGGCCGAUGGCGACCGGCGCACGGGUGAGUAACGCGUAUCCAACCUGCCUUACACUCUUGGACAGCCUUCUGAAAGGGAGAUUAAUACAAGAUGUUAUCAUGAGUAAGCAUUUUCACAUGAUUAAAGGUUUACCGGUGUAAGAUGGGGAUGCGUUCCAUUAGAUAGUAGGCGGGGUAACGGCCCACCUAGUCUUCGAUGGAUAGGGGUUCUGAGAGGAAGGUCCCCCACAUUGGAACUGAGACACGGUCCAAACUCCUACGGGAGGCAGCAGUGAGGAAUAUUGGUCAAUGGACGAGAGUCUGAACCAGCCAAGUAGCGUGAAGGAUGAAGGUUCUAUGGAUUGUAAACUUCUUUUAUACGGGAAUAAACGGAUCCACGUGUGGAUUUUUGCAUGUACCGUAUGAAUAAGGAUCGGCUAACUCCGUGCCAGCAGCCGCGGUAAUACGGAGGAUCCGAGCGUUAUCCGGAUUUAUUGGGUUUAAAGGGAGCGUAGAUGGGUUGUUAAGUCAGUUGUGAAAGUUUGCGGCUCAACCGUAAAAUUGCAAUUGAUACUGGCAGUCUUGAGUACAGUUGAGGUAGGCGGAAUUCGUGGUGUAGCGGUGAAAUGCUUAGAUAUCACGAAGAACUCCGAUUGCGAAGGCAGCUUACUAACCUGUAACUGACAUUGAUGCUCGAAAGUGUGGGUAUCAAACAGGAUUAGAUACCCUGGUAGUCCACACGGUAAACGAUGAAUACUCGCUGUAGGCGAUAUACAGUCUGCGGCCAAGCGAAAGCAUUAAGUAUUCCACCUGGGGAGUACGCCGGCAACGGUGAAACUCAAAGGAAUUGACGGGGGCCCGCACAAGCGGAGGAACAUGUGGUUUAAUUCGAUGAUACGCGAGGAACCUUACCCGGGCUUAAAUUGCAACCGAAUAUGGCGGAAACGCUAUAGCUAGCAAUAGCGGUUGUGAAGGUGCUGCAUGGUUGUCGUCAGCUCGUGCCGUGAGGUGUCGGCUUAAGUGCCAUAACGAGCGCAACCCUUGCCGAUAGUUACUAACAGGUCAUGCUGAGGACUCUGUCGGGACUGCCAUCGUAAGAUGUGAGGAAGGUGGGGAUGACGUCAAAUCAGCACGGCCCUUACGUCCGGGGCUACACACGUGUUACAAUGGGGGGUACAGAGGGCUGCUACCACGCAAGUGGAUGCCAAUCCCAAAAACCUCUCUCAGUUCGGAUUGAAGUCUGCAACCCGACUUCAUGAAGCUGGAUUCGCUAGUAAUCGCGCAUCAGCCACGGCGCGGUGAAUACGUUCCCGGGCCUUGUACACACCGCCCGUCAAGCCAUGGGAGCCGGGGGUACCUGAAGUGCGUAACCGCAAGGAGCGCCCUAGGGUAAAACUGGUAA